rnacentral:rRNA from 1 species
GACGAACGCUGGCGGCGUGCCUAAUACAUGCAAGUAGAACGCUGAAGGGGGAGCUUGCUUCUCCGGAUGAGUUGCGAACGGGUGAGUAACGCGUAGGUAACCUGCCUGGUAGCGGGGGAUAACUAUUGGAAACGAUAGCUAAUACCGCAUAAGAGUAGAUGUCGCAUGACAUUUGCUUAAAAGGUGCAACUGCACCACUACCAGAUGGACCUGCGUUGUAUUAGCUAGUUGGUGAGGUAACGGCUCACCAAGGCAACGAUACAUAGCCGACCUGAGAGGGUGAUCGGCCAAACUGGGACGGGGACACGGCCCAGACUCCUACGGGAGGCAGCAGUAGGGAAUCUUCGGCAAGGGGCGGAAGUCUGACCGAGAAACGCGGCGGGAGUGAAGAAGGUUUUCGGGUCGUAAAGCUCUGUUGUAAGAGAAGAACGAGUGUGGGAGUGGAAAGUUCACACUGUGAGGGUAUCUUACAAGAAAGAGACGGCUAACUACGUG